rnacentral:tRNA from 1 species
GCUGGUGUAGCUCAAUUUGGCAGAGCAGCCGCCUUGUAAGCGGCAGGUUAUGGGUUCGAGUCCCUUCACCAGCUCCA